rnacentral:lncRNA from 1 species
GAAGAUCCUAGAGGUCCCAAGGUAGCUGACUUGCGAAGCUGAGGCUCCAGCCGAGGGCUCCAGGCCUCUGACCGGCCCAGCAGUGAGCGCGGCUGCCCGACGCUUCAGGGCCGGGAGCAGGGAGCGUGAGUCGCCAUGGCGACGCCGGCGGGUCUGGAGCGCUGGGUUCAGGACGAGCUGCACUCGGUGUUGGGGCUGAGCGAGCGGCACGUCGCCCAGUUUCUGAUCGGUACCGCACAGCGCUGCACCUCUGCCGAGGAGUUCGUGCAGCGCCUACGAGACACUGAUACCUUGGAUCUCAGUGGGCCGGCCCGGGACUUCGCCCUGAGACUCUGGAACAAGUACCACGAAAGGCAGUGGUAGAAAAGCCAGCUCGGGCAGCAGAGCGAGAGGCCCGGGCCCUGCUGGAGAAGAACCGAUCUUAUAGGUUACUGGAAGACAGUGAAGAGAGCAGUGAGGAGACUGUGAGUAGGGCUGGAAGCAGCCUCCAGAAGAAACGUAAAAAGCGGAAACACCUCAGGAAGAAGCGUGAGGAAGAAGAGGAGGAAGAGGCUUCUGAGAAAGGGAAGAAGAAA